rnacentral:rRNA from 1 species
GACGAACGCUGGCGGCGUGCCUAACACAUGCAAGUCGAACGGUGAAGCCCUCCGGGGUGGGUCAGUGGCGAACGGGAGGGUAAAAGGUGUGCAACCUGGCCAUGCCUCUGGGACAACUACGGGAAAUGGUGGCUAAUGCCAGAGACAUCCCGCCUCGGAAGUGAGUGUGGGUGGAAAGUUUCUUGGCGGGCGAUGGGCUCUCGGGUUAUCGCCUUGUGGGGGUGGGGAAGGCGCACAAAGUCGACGACUGCUAGCUGGCCUGAGAGGGCGACCGGCCCCUCUAUUCCUGAGCCACGGCCCAGUCUCCUACAGGAGCCAGUAGUUGUGAACCUUGCACAUUGGGCGCACGCCUGAUGCAGCGACCCCUCGUUAGGGAUGACGGCCUUCGGGUUGUAAACCUCUUUCAGCUCCGACGAAGCGACAGUGACGGUAGAAGCAGACUAAGCACCGGCUAACUACGUG